GUUAAAUUAAAUUUUAUUGGUAACUACAAUUCCCUCUUCCCACCCUCCCUUCCUCUCUUUCUCUCUCUCUCUAUAGAGCAAGCACAGAGACAUUUGCAGCUCAGGGCAAAAAUGAGUUCACCAGUUUUACAGGGUUUCACAAAAUCCCUUGCUAUGACUGUGGUUUCUGAAAUUGGUGACCGAACAUUUUGCAUUGCCGCUAUCUUAGCCAUGCGUCACCCAAGAAAGAGCGUCUUGUUUGGCUGCCUGUCUUCUGUGAUUGUAAGUUUGUUUCUUUCCUUUUGUGCGUGUGUGUGUGUGUGUUUUUUUUGCUGAAUUAUUGAUAAAAAUGUAAUACAAAAAUUGUUAAGAGCAAAAAAGGUACUUGAAUCUUCAGAUCUAGCCGCCUCCAGGGAUCCUGUCGAUUUCUCCGGCUAUGAGGU